GAUGAACGCUGGCGGCGUGCCUAAUACAUGCAAGUCGAGCGAACAGACGAGGAGCUUUCUCCUCUGACGUUAGCGGCGGACGGGUGAGUAACACGUGGAUAACCUACCUAUAAGACUUGGAUAAUUUCGUGAAACCGGAUCUAAUACCGGAUAAUAUAUUGAACCGCAUGGUUCAAUAGUUAAAGACGGUUUUGCUGUCACUUAUAGAUGAAUCCGCGUCGCAUUAGCUAGUUGGUAAGGUAACGGCUUACCAAGGCGACGAUGCGUAGCCGACCUGAGAGGGUGAUCGGCCACACUGGAACUGAGACACGGUCCAGACUCCUACGGGAGGCAGCAGUAGGGAAUAUUCCGCAAUGGGCGAAAGCCUGACGGAGCAACGCCGCGUGAGUGAUGAAGGUCUUCGGAUCGUAAAACUCUGUUAUUAGGGAAGAAAAAAUGUGUAAGUAACUAUGCACGUCUUGACGGUACCUAAUCAGAAAGCCACGGCUAACUACGUG
rnacentral:rRNA from 1 species